CUGGCUGGGGCUCCUGAUGAAGGUGCUGCUCCUAUGAUCACACUGGGCCGUCGGAUAAUCCAGGAUAAUCUCCCCAUUUUAAGGUCAACCCACCAGUUACCUUAAUUUCAUCUGCAAAGCCCCUCUUGCCACGUGAUAGAGCAUAACCAUGGGCAUGGCCCCAGAACGUGAAGGUCAUGGGGGCUGCAAUUCUGCCUACCACAUUGACUUCAUCAGCAACAGGUCCAGUUCGGGAUGAAUCGCCUCUGAAGGGUGCUCUGAAGUGCUCCAGCUGAAGUUUUGGCCAUCUCCGCCAGCCACACCCCACUGGGUUCCUCCUCCCCAGCUCUGGCUGUUUCGUCCCCUCUAGCCAUCGCCCACCGUCCACACUGCCAUACGGCCGCUCAGGACAUCCCAGUUCCCUCCUGCCCGAGAGCUCUCAUCUGAGGACGCGCAUCAUUCCUCAGGAAACUCUAUCUUUCCACACCACCCCCAGCUGUUCUCAGCCACCCAGAAAAAAGGAACAUAAACGCUAAUGGGGAAAAACAUGGGGACACAUCUCAUUUCACCCCACACUCCCUCAGCUCAACCUGGGAAUGUAACCUGCAGGGCAGCAAGACCAGAAGCAACACCACUCCAGUUCUCCCAAGGGCCAAUGGCAUAGCCCUUGGGUAUUCUCAGGGUUCUCUUACCCAGACAGGUGGCCAGCUAGCAGGAGUGCACACACUUCCAAAUAUCAGCUAAAGUCAAAUGAUGGCUCAAUCUUCUCCAUCUAUUAAAUCAAAUUGGUGCUAGGCUCAAUGGCCAAGGAUGCAAAGCUGGUUGUCUUUGGUCCCUUCCAAACUGUGGUCUGUGAAUGAGCAGUGGUAGGUAUUACCUUGGAGUUGCUACAUCUAUAGAGUCCCUCCUAGUGAACUGGAAUCUGCAUUUUAAUGAGAUACCCAGGUGAUCUGUAAGCACAUCCUGAAAUGCUGAGGAAAACCUGAAGUCAGCAGCAGAAAGGCGGACUCCAGCUGUGUCCAGGCAUCCUUCGUUCCGAGUCCAGUCCUUACCUGGCCCAUACAGGCCCAACUCCCAGCCACUCUUCCUCCUCCAUCAAGCACCACCUAUCUCUUGAGAUCUUUCACAAAAAUAAACUUUAGGGAAGGGUGGGACCUUUGGAAUAAUCUAGUCUUACCCCACCUCAUGGCCUCUUGCAUGUCAGCGCCAUCACCAUCAUCAUGCCACGUGCUGUGUCUCAGAGCCUGUUCCCUCCUAGUUUAAGAUCUUUGAGAAACCAUGUCUUUUCAUCUCUGUAUCCUCAAAGUCUGGCUGAUCCAGUCCGGUAUAUAGCAGGUCUGCUAAAUUGUUGUUAAACUGCCUUAAUUUCGAUAGAUGAAGCAAGCAGAGCCAGGAGAAGUUGGGGAGAUCAGCUAAGAUCACUGGGCAGUCAGGUGCUGAUCCACGUCCAAACUUCUGAACCAGGGAGGCAUACAAGAUGCUUUAGUGACUUACAUGUGUGUGCCAUUUUUAUUUGUCUCCAACACCCACCCUAUGUUGGAUGCCAUCUCAAUUCUUCUUGUGUAUUGAGAAUGAGUCUUUUAUCUAAGCUCGUUAAAACAGAAAUUCCAUCCAUAUUUACUUCAAAAGACUCAAAAAUACAAUUUAAUAGAAUACUUAAUAUGAAUUUCACAGGCACCAAAGUUUACAGCUGUUGAGGAUGAGGUCACACUGGCCCAACUAAAGUCAUGUCACCUCUCUCACAUCGUAGCAUUCUUUUAUCCUUGUUUUACACUCUUAAGAGAUAGCAUAAAGAAGAAAAUCAAAACCCAGAAAAGGUUUGCUGUAAUUACUCCAAUAAUUUCCUUCAGUGAAAAUCUCUUAUCACUAUGAUUUUAGUGACAGAGGAACAAGCAGAGCUCUGACGUGGGGCUGAGUGCCCACUACUAAAGGGCAGAGGCUGCCGCCAGGCCACCAAGGCCCAUCUGGCCAGGCAAGGCCACCCAGAGCCCUCACGUUUACUCCAAACGGCCAUUCUUGAGCCAGCUGGGUUGGGUCCCACCCCUUCUGGCUUGCACCACCACAAAGAAAACCUCAAGAAUAUCUGCUUUGCCGUUUUUUUUUUUUUUUGCAGACAGAGUCUCGCUCUGUCACCAGGCUGGAGUGCAGUGGUGUGAUCUCGACUCACUGCAACCUCCGCCUCUUGGGUUCAAGCGAUUCUUCUGCCUCAGCCUCCCGAGUAACUGGGACUACAGGCACGCACCACUACGCCCAGCUAAUUUUUAUAUUUUUAGUAGAGACGGGAUUCCACCAUGUUGGCCAGGAUGGUCUCGAUCUCUUGACCUUGUGAUCCGCCCGCCUCGGCCUCCCAAAGUGCUGGGACUACAGGCGUGAGCCACUGCGCCCGGCUGCCUUUUUUUUUUUUUAAAAAAGGAGAAAAGUAACAAUAAACAACAGCCUUAAGAAAAAACAAGAAGCAACACAGAUCAUAUGGGAAGCACAACUUUCUCAGCCAAGUAGCCCAAAUUAUCACAAAUAAUCCUACCAAGAAUACACCUAAUACUGGAGGGGAAAGAAUGCUUACACAAAACUGUUGUUUGCUUUGAAGCUUUGAAUAAGUUCCAAGUUUUUAUAUUUCACAAUUUAUAUACUUUAUUACAGUCCACAGUCUGCUAAAUAAAAGCAGUAACAAGAUAUUUCACAAACUAUUGUACAAAUUAAGUCUUAUG
rnacentral:lncRNA from 1 species